rnacentral:lncRNA from 1 species
CAUUAUCAAAAAUAUUGAUUUUUAAAGAAAAUAUGAAAAUGGACUAAAUUGGAUCGCCAGUAAAGAUCCGGGGUAAAUUCGCAAAUAAAUAAAAUCUGGAGGACUUAAUUGAACGCUCGAAUUACAUAAAGGGGCUGGAAGGGCAAUUUUCCCUUCUCCUCUAAACGACGCCGUUCAAAUUAGACCAAAUUGAAAUAAAAAUAAAUAAAAGGGUAAAUUAAAAAAAUAAAAAAAAACUUAAUUACAAAAACAUUAAAAGGCGGAGGGGCUAAAUAAAAUAAAUAAAAUUCGCAGUGGUAU